rnacentral:rRNA from 1 species
ACAUGCAAGUCGAGCGAACAGACAAGGAGCUUGCUCCUUUGACGUUAGCGGCGGACGGGUGAGUAACACGUGGGUAACCUACCUAUAAGACUGGGAUAACUUCGGGAAACCGGAGCUAAUACCGGAUAAUAUUUCGAACCGCAUGGUUCGAUAGUGAAAGAUGGUUUUGCUAUCACUUAUAGAUGGACCCGCGCCGUAUUAGCUAGUUGGUAAGGUAACGGCUUACCAAGGCGACGAUACGUAGCCCACCUGAGAGGGUGAUCGGCCACACUGGAACUGAGACACGGUCCAGACUCCUACGGGAGGCAGCAGUAGGGAAUCUUCCGCAAUGGGCGAAAGCCUGACGGAGCAACGCCGCGUGAGUGAUGAAGGUCUUCGGAUCGUAAAACUCUGUUAUUAGGGAAGAACAUACGUGUAAGUAACUAUGCACGUCUUGACGGUACCUAAUCAGAAAGCCACGGCUAACUACGUGCCAGCAGCCGCGGUAAUACGUAGGUGGCAAGCGUUAUCCGGAAUUAUUGGGCGUAAAGCGCGCGUAGGCGGUUUUUUAAGUCUGAUGUGAAAGCCCACGGCUCAACCGUGGAGGGUCAUUGGAAACUGGAAAACUUGAGUGCAGAAGAGGAAAGUGGAAUUCCAUGUGUAGCGGUGAAAUGCGCAGAGAUAUGGAGGAACACCAGUGGCGAAGGCGACUUUCUGGUCUGUAACUGACGCU